rnacentral:lncRNA from 1 species
AGACAAGGUCUUUGUCUGUUGCUCAGGAUGGAGUGUAGUGGUGCCAUAGCACACUGUAAUCUUGAAUUUCUGGACUACUGGCAUACACCACCAUGCUUAGGUUCGGGCCACAACAUCCGUGACUUUACCGGUUUUGGUCUCUUCCUUGUAACUUUCGGCUCCAGGAUGCUGCGCAGCUCCUCUCUGCACUAUCUAUCAGAACGUUGCUCUGCGUGCUUGAAAGUUUCGCCAAACAGAAGUACACAAAAACAAACAGAGGCGAAACACAAAUCCCCUCAGCCCUGGAGGAAAAGGCCUUGAAGCUCUUCCAGUGCAGAGGCCACGCAGAGGACAUGCUCCUACCUGUGCACAUCGGCCACGCCUGGGGUGCCUCCUGGAGUCCAGGCUGCUGGCGAUGGAAUCCAUCAUGUUGCUGAUGUCACUACUCUCAACUCCUGAUGGCAUCAGAACACAGGCAGCAUCAAGAUCAGGCUCAAGAUGCAGGAUUUUAUCAUCCAAAUCAGGCCCACAUAUGGAUGAAACCCUUCAGGUAUUCUGCACAUCUCUCAGGAAACCCAGAUGAAAUUGAGUGCCUGCUGCCCACAUCAGCAACCCAGACAUCCCACUUGAUUCUGCUUCUGGAGCCUAAGAUGGGAAAAUGGCAGGUGUCGCAGGUUGCAGGGGAAGGUC